rnacentral:misc_RNA from 1 species
GAUCGAACAUCAGAUUGAUUUUGUCUUGGAGCAGUAAUUCUUAAUUGACCAGCUUACAAAAGUAAUCCUGAGGAGACAAAGGAACUUCAGAGGCAAAUUGAGGAGUUAUUGGCAAAAAGGUAUGCAAGAGAAAGCAUGAGUCCAUAUGCAGUUCCAGUGCUAUUAGUGCCUAAAAAGGAUGGUUCUUGGAGGAUGUGUGUUGACUGUCGAGCUGUCAACAAGA